GGUCACUUCAUCCUGUUCCAGGUACAGCAGCUCCAAAUCGUGGGGAUUCUGUAAGAGCUUCCUACCUGUUGACUGAGGAGGCCCACAAGUUGAGGAGAACUAUCAAGAGUGGUACAAAACUGCAGGUCAUUGGGCUGGCCACCAGGUAUUCCCACCCACCAGAAGCUAGCUGUUGUACUCACCCGGAACCAUGAUGCACCACCACAGCGGCGAGGUCAUACAGGCAGCUCUCCGGGCCACUGUUCUCAGGCUACAGAACAAGGAAGAAGGAGCAAUGGUCAAUGACAUCAGUAUCUCGAUGACCUCUAACCUCUCCGUGUGAUGACAAUCUUACUGAAGAGCCAUUUUUUCACCAUGCUAAAAAGGUAACCACCUUACCUCUAGUAAGUAGCAUUUCAUGUCUAGGCCUCUCAAUGGAAAUUCUACAUAUGUAUCAACUUUAUUUCUUAAAUAUGCUGUCCAAUGAAAUCUUUUCAAAUGUAAGCAUAGCACCUGGAGGACAGAGAUGAGGUCAAAGAUUGUGAACACCUAAUUUACCUUUCAAAGUUUGAUACUACUAUCAGUUCAGUAAGUAACAUUUUAGCUGCCCUAUCAAUCAUUCUUCCAUGCAUACCUUAUGCAUUCAUUCUGUAAAGGGUUUAGCUUUUACUGAAAACCCUAGAGACAUACAGAACAGUUCACAUAGUGUAAAGUUAUAGACAUGGUCUUAGCAGUCAAGCAUUUUCCCCUUGAAAUUGCUUCAUAACUCAAAAUCAACACUCACCUUGGGUAGUUUUUGAAUCCAAAACUUUUUUGUGGACUUUUGUUUCUUUUUGCAUUUAUGGCACAUAUAUAACUCUGUCUCAUCAAGUUCUUCUAAGUCAGUAAAACUGCGAAGACAAUCUAAACAAAUUGAUUUUGGCAGCAUUAAAACAAGAUACCUUUUCUAGAGCCAAUGUACUGUAGAAAAAAGACUGAACUUUGAAGCUGAAUGACCCAGGUUUAAAAUCUCAGCUUUAUUAGCUAUACGACCUUAGAAAAGUUAACCUUUCUCAGUUGCAAACUGGAGACAAAAAAUAAUACCUACUUUGAAGAACUAUUGUAAGGGAGACAAAUAACAUGUGUAAAGCACCUGGCAUCGUGCCUGACAUCUGGUGAUCAAUUGUGUUGGUUUUACUAUUAAUGAAAAUUCAUCUGGAUAAUUCUGAUAAAAUGGUUUCCUGAUGAA